ACAGGUUUGCUGUUUAAAGAUUUCCUUUGGCUCUCAGCAGAUAAGAGGCCAAUAUACUCAAACUCUUAUCUACUGCAGUGAAUACAUUAAGUGGCAUUGAUAAGGUUGGAAAUGUGGCAUAGGCAUAUUGAGUCUAAUGGCUUGUUAAGUGCAUGUGUCAGCUUCUUCUUUCUGAAAACUUCAGGAAGAACUGCAUGCUCCUGAUAAAUUUAUUUAAAUUGCCACCCUUGACACACAAACAGAAUAGAAUACCUUAAUUAGAGUAAGAAAGUUGUUCACUUUCCUGCGUCACUAAUGGAGAUUGACAGAGGACUUACUUAGAGAGUUAUAAAUAGAAUUUAGGCUGCUGUGAGGAAAAGAGAAACCAAAAUGAUACCAGCUGUACCAGGAGAAGAACUGAAGAGGCAUCCAAGGAUGUUUUCCUAGUCAUCAAUUCCCAGGUCUUCACUAUUUUUAGGGGCUGACAGUUUUAUAAAUAAGUCAGCAAGGGCUUUUCCACCUUACCUUAAUCUGCUAUGAGUUGCUGGUUUGAGCUCAAGUGGUGACAAUUCAAAGAAGAACAUUCAUGGGGCUAUGUUUUCAACAGAACUGGUGAAACCAUAUCCACACAGGCUAUGGAAGCAGACUCAGCAGACUUGCUGUUCAAAAGACCAUUCCUAAGGAUUUUUAAGAAUUUUUUUUCUGUUGAAAAAAAAAAAACCUGUAUUUCCAAUCUCAUCUGCAUGUACUGCCACAACAUACUGGAUGUAAAUAAAUUUAAAGAGAUUGUGGACGGUAAGGUCUUGUGGAAGGAUCUACUUCAUGCAGGUGAGAAGAGUAAGGAGGAUUCCAUCCAAUUUGAUUUGAACAAUGAACUACACUACACCAUUGAUGAUGAAGACUAUCAAAUUGCGUAGUCUCUACAGGACAUCCCCUUUAGGUUUUUAGUGGGACCAGAGGUUAUAUCGAUUACUUGUGAACUCUUUAUAUGUGAGGCGUCUAAGGAAUGAAGAGACAGCCUUUAUUCUACCAUCUACUUCCUAUUUCAGAGGGUCGAUUGAAGAUUGCCCAAUCUGGAGAGAUCUAUAUAGGGAAAAGAGGACACUUUAUGGAUGAAUCAAUAGACACAGAUAGAGUAAGUAAUUUGAAGAUUUGACCUCCUCUCCACAGCGACAAAAGGUCAUCUGUUACCACUACUUGAAUACCCUCUGGCAUUGGUGGGUUAGAAGUUUAAUUGCUGCAAGAAGUUCAGAAUAUUGGGAAAUGGUAUUCUCUUGACUCUCAGUGCUAUGUACAUCAGAAGAGGGAGUUGGAUCCAUUAAAAACACUCUUUGACCCAAAAGAAUUGUGAACUGUUUUGUGGAGAGAGACCCUUUCCUGAAGAGGCCACACACACCAAUGUUUCAAGUCUUUGGCCUGCUGAGACAGAUUUUUGAAAAAUUAUGUUUGUAUCUCAUCCCAGAAAAAUAAUAAGAUAAGAUAAUGGCUAAAAUCCUAUUGCUUAACAUCAUACAUUGCAACUUGUGUAGGGCCAUUAAAUCAGUGGGGAUUUGGUGAAUCAGUUCCUAUGUAUGUUCCAUUGAUGCAAAUAGGCUUAGUCUAAUUGCAACUUACUACAUCAAAGCAAGUGAUAAUUAGAGUAGGUUUAUUUAGUGAAUAAACUUACAGGGUAGUUUAUUCA
rnacentral:lncRNA from 1 species